rnacentral:snoRNA from 1 species
CAGUCCCAUCUCACGAUGAACCCUUGUGGCCCUGAGCUGCCGUGAUUCUGGCUUCAAAGUAAACACUCUGAAGAGAGAGAAAACA